rnacentral:rRNA from 1 species
AACGAACGCUGGCGGCAUGCCUAACACAUGCCAGUCGAACGAGACCUUCGGGUCUAGUGGCGCACGGGUGCGUAACGCGUGGGAACCUGCCCUUAGGUUCGGAAUAACUCCCCGAAAGGGGUGCUAAUACCGGAUAAUGUCUUCGGACCAAAGAUUUAUCGCCUUUGGAUGGGCCCGCGUUGGAUUAGCUAGUUGGUAGGGUAAAAGCCUACCAAGGCGACGAUCCAUAGCUGGUCUGAGAGGAUGAUCAGCCACACUGGGACUGAGACACGGCCCAGACUCCUACGGAGGCAGCAGUGGGGAAUAUUGGACAAUGGGCGAAAGCCUGAUCCAGCAAUGCCGCGUGAGUGAUGAAGGCCUUAGGGUUGUAAAGCUCUUUUACCCGGGAUGAUAAUGACAGUACCGGGAGAAUAAGCUCCGGCUAACUCCGUG